AAUCAACGCUGGCGGCGUGCCUAACACAUGCAAGUCGAACGCGAAAGUCCCGCAAGGGAUUAGUAGAGUGGCAAACGGGUGAGUAACACGUGGGUGACCUGCCUUCGAGUGGGGGAUAACGUCCCGAAAGGGGCGCUAAUACCGCAUGACAUCCUGUCUUUUAACAGGCGGAGAUCAAAGCUGGGGAUCGCAAGACCUAGCGCUUGAAGAGGGGCCCGCGUCUGAUUAGCAGUUGGUGAGGUAACGGCUCACCAAGGCGACGAUCAGUAUCCGGCCUGAGAGGGCGGACGGACACACUGGGACUGAGACACGGCCCAGACUCCUACGGGAGGCAGCAGUGGGGAAUUGUUCGCAAUGGGCGCAAGCCUGACGACGCAACGCCGCGUGGAGGA
rnacentral:rRNA from 1 species